rnacentral:ncRNA from 2 species
GUUUGGAGCUAGGGGAGCCGGGAGGCCGGCUGAGAUACAGAACCGCUAAUUUCUGUGACCCUUAAACCUGAACUGGGUAAUGCCAGCGUAGGGAAGCUUAAACGAUUGGUU